AGAGUUUGAUCAUGGCUCAGGAUGAACGCUAGCGGCAGGCUUAACACAUGCAAGUCGAGGGGUAUAGUUCUUCGGAACUAGAGACCGGCGCACGGGUGCGUAACGCGUAUGCAAUCUACCUUUCACAAAGGGAUAGCCCAGAGAAAUUUGGAUUAAUACCUUAUAGUAUAGCGAGUUCGCAUGGAUUUGCUAUUAAAGAUUUAUCGGUGAAAGAUGAGCAUGCGUCCCAUUAGCUAGUUGGUAAGGUAACGGCUUACCAAGGCUACGAUGGGUAGGGGUCCUGAGAGGGAGAUCCCCCACACUGGUACUGAGACACGGACCAGACUCCUACGGGAGGCAGCAGUGAGGAAUAUUGGUCAAUGGGCGCAAGCCUGAACCAGCCAUGCCGCGUGCAGGAUGACGGUCCUAUGGAUUGUAAACUGCUUUUGUACAGGAAGAAACACCCCGACGUGUCGGGACUUGACGGUACUGUAAGAAUAAGGAUCGGCUAACUCCGUGCCAGCAGCCGCGGUAAUACGGAGGAUCCAAGCGUUAUCCGGAAUCAUUGGGUUUAAAGGGUCCGUAGGCGGCUUAAUAAGUCAGUGGUGAAAUCCCUACGCUUAACGUAGGAACGGCCAUUGAUACUGUUAGGCUUGAAUUAUUAGGAAGUAACUAGAAUAUGUAGUGUAGCGGUGAAAUGCUUAGAGAUUACAUGGAAUACCAAUUGCGAAGGCAGGUUACUACUAAUGGAUUGACGCUGAUGGACGAAAGCGUGGGUAGCGAACAGGAUUAGAUACCCUGGUAGUCCACGCCGUAAACGAUGGAUACUAGCUGUUGGAAGCAAUUUCAGUGGCUAAGCGAAAGUGAUAAGUAUCCCACCUGGGGAGUACGUUCGCAAGAAUGAAACUCAAAGGAAUUGACGGGGG
rnacentral:rRNA from 1 species